UACAGAGGAGCCAAGCGUUGUCCGGAUUGACUGGGCGUAAAGCGCACGCAGGCGGUUGCGCGCGUGGGGGGUGAAAUCUGGCCGCUUAACGGCCAGGCGCCAUCCCAUACGGCGCGACUGGAGGGCUGCAGAGGUCGAUGGAAUUGCCGGUGUAGUGGUGAAAUGCGUAGAUAUCGAGAGGAACACCGGUGGCGAAGGCGAGUCCCUGGACAACACCUGACACUGAGGCACGAAAGCUAGGGGAGCAAACAGG
rnacentral:rRNA from 1 species